GGGGGGAGUGUAGGAUCCUGGGCUGUUUUCCCCAGUGCCCUGGGAUCUGGGACCUGUGCUGUUUGAAUCGUGCUCCUGGGGCUGCUCAGCCCCCU
rnacentral:pre_miRNA from 1 species